GACGAACUCUGGCGGCGUGCUUAACACAUGCAAGUCGAACGGAAAGGCCCUGCUUUUGUGGGGUGCUCGAGUGGCGAACGGGUGAGUAACACGUGAGUAACCUGCCCUUGACUUUGGGAUAACUUCAGGAAACUGGGGCUAAUACCGGAUAGGAGCUCCUGCUGCAUGGUGGGGGUUGGAAAGUUUCGGCGGUUGGGGAUGGACUCGCGGCUUAUCAGCUUGUUGGUGGGGUAGUGGCUUACCAAGGCUUUGACGGGUAGCCGGCCUGAGAGGGUGACCGGCCACAUUGGGACUGAGAUACGGCCCAGACUCCUACGGGAGGCAGCAGUGGGGAAUAUUGCAUAAUGGGCGGAAGCCUGAUGCAGCGACGCCGCGUGCGGGAUGACGGCCUUCGGGUUGUAAACCGCUUUCGCCUGUGACGAAGCGUGAGUGACGGUAAUGGGUAAAGAAGCACCGGCUAACUACGUGCCAGCAGCCGCGGUGAUACGUAGGGUGCGAGCGUUGUCCGGAUUUAUUGGGCGUAAAGGGCUCGUAGGUGGUUGAUCGCGUCGGAAGUGUAAUCUUGGGGCUUAACCCUGAGCGUGCUUUCGAUACGGGUUGACUUGAGGAAGGUAGGGGAGAAUGGAAUUCCUGGUGGAGCGGUGGAAUGCGCAGAUAUCAGGAGGAACACCAGUGGCGAAGGCGGUUCUCUGGGCCUUUCCUGACGCUGAGGAGCGAAAGCGUGGGGAGCGAACAGGCUUAGAUACCCUGGUAGUCCACGCUGUAAACGGUGGGUACUAGGUGUGGGGUCCAUUCCACGGGUUCCGUGCCGUAGCUAACGCUUUAAGUACCCCGCCUGGGGAGUACGGCCGCAAGGCUAAAACUCAAAGGAAUUGACGGGGCCCCGCACAAGCGGCGGAGCAUGCGGAUUAAUUCGAUGCAACGCGUAGAACCUUACCUGGGUUUGACAUGGAUCGGGAGUGCUCAGAGAUGGGUGUGCCUCUUUUGGGGUCGGUUCACAGGUGGUGCAUGCCUGUCGUCAGCUCGUGUCGUGAGAUGUUGGGUUAAGUCCCGCAACGAGCGCAACCCUUGUUCACUGUUGCCAGCACGUUAUGGUGGGGACUCAGUGGAGACCGCCGGGGUCAACUCGGAGGAAGGUGGGGAUGACGUCAAGUCCUCAUGCCCCUUAUGUCCAGGGCUUCACGCAUGCUACAAUGGCUGGUACAGAGAGUGGCGAGCCUGUGAGGGUGAGCGAAUCUCGGAAAGCCGGUCUCAGUUCGGAUUGGGGUCUGCAACUCGACCUCAUGAAGUCGGAGUCGCUAGUAAUCGCAGAUCAGCAACGCUGCGGUGAAUACGUUCCCGGG
rnacentral:rRNA from 1 species